UACGUAGGGGGCGAGCGUUGUCCGGAUUUAUUGGGCGUAAAGAGCGUGUAGGCGGUCCGGUCAGUCGGUUGUGAAAGUCAAGGGCUCAACCCUUGAAUGCCGGCCGAUACUGCCGGGCUAGAGUCCGGAAGAGGCGAGUGGAAUUCCUGGUGUAGCGGUGAAAUGCGCAGAUAUCAGGAGGAACACCAAUGGCGAAGGCAGCUCGCUGGAACGGUACUGACGCUGAGGCGCGAAAGCGUGGGGAGCGAACAGG
rnacentral:rRNA from 1 species